GGGACCUGCUACAUGGUUCCUUGACAUAGAAGAAAUAGCAGCCAAAUAUCUCUGGAAUUACAUCCCAUCAUCUUGAAAUAGGAAAGACACAUUAUGAUGUAGUCUUAGAUACACUAUAUCUAACAAGGCUGAUCUGGGGCUUAAGAAUAAGACUGAUAGGUAUGCAAUAUUAUAAAAGAGCAUCGCAUAGAUCUGUAUAUGUAUGUAUUGUAGAACAGCAGAUGCACCUAUUAAGUUAUAGGUGGUGGUGGUGGUGGAAGAGGCAUUCUAGUGUAAGUGGGUUACUUAAAAACAUUAUCAGUAGUUAGCAAACAUUAUCGGGCAUGACCUAAGCAACAAAGAAAAUUAAACAAAAGCAACAGGAGGAAAUCUAUUCUGUCCCCAUUUUCCAUCUCUAAGUCAUGGGACCAACAGUUGACAAACAUUUCUUAAAAGUAUAUCACACAAAACACAGCAGCAAACUUAUGUAAGUUUAUAAACACAGCAAACAACAACAGCUAAUGAAGGAGCCUCCGGAUAGUUGCUCAGCUUGCUAGAAACGGGAGCCAAAUCACCUUCAUAUCAUAUCACGCCCUACAGUCUUAAAAAUAAAAAUUUUUUUUAAAAAUGGAAAACAUAUUGCUGGAUAACUUAGUUAAUAUACAAUGUCUGGAAAAAAAAGACAAGAUGGUUAUGGCUGGACUACUUUUGAUCAUAGAUCUGCUAAAUCAAAGCUGAUCAGGGGUGAAAACCAAUGACAACCCUACACUGGUUUAUAACAAUACAAACUAUGAAUGGAGCCUCUCAAAACUUGACUUGAAUCUACCUCAAUGCAAUAGUUAUAACUCACUUGAACCCCUUAUUAUAACUUAAAUGAGCUCCACACUUUGCAAGUUCUCAAUUACAUCUGAAACAGCAAGCCCACCUUUGCUUUUAAAUAAUUUCAUUUAUUACUCUAAAUGGAAAAUGGACAAGCAGACAAGGAAGCAUCUAUUUGGUUGCUAAAUUUAAUAGAAACAGCAGCCAAAUAUAUUGUCUAAAGAAAAGGAAGAACACACUGGACAAUAGAUAUAAAAUAAUUAGGAUGGCCAUGGGUGGAAAGCCUCUGAUCAUAGGUCUGUGCUAUCAAAGCCUAAGCAACAACAUAAAGACUGGAUGACCAUGUUAAGAAACUUGUGAUCAGAACAAUACAAAAGGCACAUUAGACUGGGUUUGAACCAAUGGCAUAUUUUCCAUGUAUUUGAUCAGAAAUGCCUUCCUGCUCCAGAAGAGGUGAAUGUAGGCUACUCAACAACUGCAAGAACAACAACAUUAAAAUACUAACAGCUGUGACAGUACUAGAAUACUGGAAUCUAACCAGCACACAUUCCAGACUAAUAGCACACUAAUUAGAGAAAAUAAGCAAAAAGUAAAUAAAUCGACAAAAAAACUACUAAUGACUCAACAAAUGAUUGGAAAAACAAAAUUAGAAGUGAUUAGUAGACCACAGCAACAAAAACUCCAUUUGUUUUUACAGUAUGGAAUGAGGUGCACUGAUGUUAAUAUAGCAGUUUAACCUUUACAGUUGGUCUUCUACAUUUGUGUAGUUGGUACUAGUAGAAUCCAUCACCUCUGUAAAAUACUGACCACAGUACAGCUUUCUGUGAUAAAUUGUUUUAGUCUGACCAGUGUUCUUCUAACCCUGACCAUCUCAUUUUCUGCCCUAUUAUAUCAAGAUUCAGUUACCAAGUAUUUUUCAACUAUUUUGAAGAGAAUUGGAUGAAGUUUGAAGGAGAUCUGGCAACUAUUUCUAGCAAGUCAAAUGAUCACACAAAAGCUUCCAGACUGCCCAUUUCUGUUACAUCCAGAAGUAGAAACUCCAGGUGAACAGUGGAGAGAGUACAACAUGCCUAGACUGCCACGUUGCGCCACACACUGCCCUAUGGAUCACAACCAGACAAAGCUAUGGCAUAUUCAGAGUAAUGGAUCGCUCCUAGAGGGUCAGCUGAUGAAGCCUGUUCAAUCUAUGUUGAUAUGGGACUACCAAAAAAAAAAAAAAAAAAAAAAAUCAACAACUGUCCACAUUGUAAUUUUAUGUGAAAGAUAAUGGAGAGAAAUAAGACGUAAUGUUUACACUUUUCCUGGUCAAGUCAAAGUGAAAUAAAAUGGAAUUACUGCCAAUAGGAAACAAAAGUAAGUUCUAGACAUAAAUGGACCAAGAACUGACCACUGAUCACCCUAAAACUGUUUGCAUCAAAUGUGAAGUAUAUGAUUCUGAGGAGAGUAAAGAGUUGAAAAAGGGGUAGGAGUUCUAAUAUUCAUGCCUUUCUAUUAAGUGAAAUGAAAACUCAAGGAGUAUGGUGGCCACUUGAAAGAGUAUCGUAUUCAACUCAUCUACAGCUAAUUAGUACUCUCUGAUAUUCCCAGCAAAGCAUCAAGAAAUUGUGAUAAGUGGAUGAUUAGAAAGAAAACACUGCUUCUUUCUUUUCUUUCUUUCUUUUUUUUUGUGAAUGGAGAAAUACUGAAGAUUGACAGAGACCCUUCAAUACACUGAGAAAUCUUGUAGAUGGCAGACUAUUAAGAGAAGAAUACUGGCACAGAACAUAGCAGAACAUCCAUGAGAGAUAACCUACUGCAAACUACAGGCCAAUUUCUCGGAUGAGAAGGAAAUCCAACCAGGAAAUAACAAUAUGCUGGAUGCCCUUCCUAGCAGAGUGGGCCGAGUGCUUUUUAUGCGGCACCAGCACAGAAAGUAGAGUGGGAUGGAGGUGAUAUACUAUAGGUAAGAUACUCUUUCUUUAUAUAUUUUAUUAUGUUCAUUUACUUUGCUUAGUCAAUGAUCUUCGGAUGUUGAGUCUCACAAAGGCAAUGACAAGUGGUCGAGACCUCUAGAGAAUUGCUUGUCAAGCUAAGUGAAAUCGUGGUUGUAGCCAGUGCCAGCGACACAUUAAAGACAUCCGUGCCAGUAACAUAGCAAAGCACCUUUGCUGGUGACAUGUAAAAAACACCCAGUACACUCUGUGGAGUGGCUGAUAUUAGGAAGGGCAUCCAGCUGAAGAAACCAAGCCAAAAUAGACUGGAGCCUGGUGUGGUUCUCCGGUUCACCAGCUCCAGUCAAGCCAUCUAAUUCAUGCCAGCAUGGAAAGCUGAUGUAUGAUGAUGAUGAUGAUGAGUAAGGAAGGCAGUGCCCAUGACUCUUUACAGGGUUUCUGAAAUAGGUGAGUGAGAAACAGAGAAGUAUCCUUAAACUAGAGACCUGACCCAAAUGCUUGCAACAGUGUUGGCCUCAUUGAGGACACCCAAGGUGCCAGGUGGUGGUAAUGAAUCAAGCAAUGGGUAAAGCGUACAAACCAAGUAGACCACAGUGAAAUUUGAUCCCAGGACUCAGAGAGCUCCAAUAAAUACCUCAAGGCAUUUCAUUCAACAUUCUAACAAUCUUGUCAGUCCACUACCCAGUUAUGGUACUUUAUUCACCAAUUCCCAAAAGGAUGGAAAGUAAAGCUGACCUUGGCAGAACUGAACACAGGAUGCAAUAAGUCAGGAUAAACACUAUGAUUUCAUCUGAUGCUACCAACUGCCAAUUCAUUGCCUCAAUCAAUUCAGGUGUAACAAAGCAGCAGAAGAGGUUGCAGUUCACCAGGUAAAGAAGCAGAUAAUAUUGUAGAAGAGACAGAAGAAUGAUACAGUUCAACGAUGGACCACCAACAGGGGGAAACUGCUUGUAUAAUGAGACACACAGGCUCUUUGGUGCAUGUGAUAUUUGUAUGUGGUAGGUACACUGUCCAAGAUAUGUGGAAACCACUCUAAUAUACACAGCAGUAAAUACAUUUAGUUCUGAAAUAUUUUUAAAAAAGAACACAAACCAUUGUCAUGAACUAUGUGGAACAACCUAGCAUUUGAAGAAAAUACUUUUUUUAGCUUCUAAUUAAUUCUAGAUCAAUGGUUCUCAACCAGAGUCCACAAAAUAUUUUAACAAUUCCCAACAAUAUUUAAUCAUAAAAAUAUAAGGGAAAUUUUUCAAAAAUUAAAUGGCUAUGGGGGUCCAUUAUCAUCAUCAUCAUUUAACAUCGGUUUUCUAUACUGGCAUGGGUUGCAUGGUUUGACUGGGGUCUGGGAAGCCAGAAGGCUGCACCAGGCCCCAAUCUGAUCUGGCAGUGUUUCUACAACUGGAUGCCCUUCCUAAUGCCAAUCACUCUGAGAGUGUAGUGGGUGCUUUUUACGUGCCACCAGCAUAGGGGCCAGAGGAGCUGGCAUCAACCAUGAUCGGAUGGUGCUUUUUAUGUGCCACCAGCACAGAAGCCAGUCAAAGCGGCACUGACAUCAGAUGGUUCGGGUGGUGCUUUUUACGUGCACCAGCAUGGGGCUCACAACUACAAUUUCCAUUUGAUUUGAUUUUGAUAUUGAUGUUGAUGUACUUGACUCAAUAGGUCUCCUCAAGCACAACAGGUCGCCCUACGAUCCAAGGUACUUUUGAGUUGACUGGUUGUGCAACACUGGUCUAGGUUACAGCCGUGGACUCACUUUAUUUGCCAGGUCUUCUCAGUCACAGCAUACCUCCAGAGGUCUCGGUCUUUUAUCAUUGCCUCUGUGAGGCCCAACAUUCGAAGGUCAUGCUUCACCACCUCAUCCCAAGUCUUCCUGGGUCUCCCUCUAUCCCGGAUUCCUUCCAUUGUUUGAGAGUGGCACUUCUUCACACAGCUCUCCUCGUCCAUCCGCAGUACAUGACCAUACCAACGCAAAUGUCUCUCUUGCAUGCCACAUACGAUGCUUCUUAUGUCUAACAUUUCUCUCAGGGUGCUUACACUCUGUCAUGUGUGCACACUGACAUUACACAUCCAGCGGAUCAUGCUAGCUUCAUUUCUUUUGAGCCUACGCAUGUCUUCAGCAGUCAUAGCCCAUGUUUCACUGCUGUGAUGCAUGGCAAUUUGCACACAUGCAUCAUACAAUCUACCUUUCACACUGAGCAAGCGGCCCUUUGUCACCAGUAGGGGUAGAAGCUUUCUGAACUUUACCCAGGCUAUUCUUAUUCUUGUGGUAACACUCUCUGAGCAUCCACCCCCUCAACAGACUUGGUCACCUAGGUAGUGGAAGCAAUCAACUACUUCUAGUUUCUUCCCCUGGCAUGUGAUGGAGUAUUUUCUUAGCAUCUGUGGUUUAUUGCCAGUAGUAUAAAAUAAAAUUCAAAGGGAUCCAUAGGGAGAAAAUGGUUGAGAACAACUGGUAUAAAUCUAUAUAUCUGGGUUUUGAUACUGUUGAAUGAACAGGUUAUCUUGCAAUGUACAGAAUGUUUUUUAAGACCUUUACUUAGUGAGGAAAUAUAGAUUUCAGAGAAAAUGGUGAUGGUGUAUGUGACUAUGAAAGUGCCCACUGUACGAUUAGCUGAAAAGAGAAUAAACAAUGUUCAUAGAUUUUUCAGCCUCCACUACUAACAUGGGACAGAGACAAUAAGAUGAGGUUAACAUAAUUAAUGAUUAAUUUCUACACCUGAAGUUCAGUUGUUGAAGAGGAAAAUAAUAUUUCCAGAGUUCUAGAAUGAUAUAGUUGAUAGUAAAGAUAUAACUGAAGCAACAGGAAAAUUAUCCAAGAAGAUUUGGGUAUAAAAGACUAUUCUACACUAGUGUAGGACAGACUGUGUUUUAUAUAGAGUGGCUUACACUACACACUAUAACCUCAGUAUAUGACAAAUGUUUAGUAUGUAGGUGCUAUAUAUUGCACCUGAAAGUACUUAAAUGAACUUGGAAUUAUACCUCAGAAUCUGCUAUGUGUGUGGAAUAUAUGAAUUACCAUGCUAUGCACCAUACAUUAAUGUGUAGCUUUAUGUUGAGCACUCCAAACCAUAUUUCAAUGUACAGCUGAGUGUGCAGUGUAUAAAUGUCCAUGCUACACACCAUACUUCAGUACAACUUAGUCUGGAGGUGAGGAAGAUGAUUUAAACAAUUUCCUUAAUGAUUUUAAUUCUUAAAACAGCACUGAAAACAAUUUUGCCAUACAGUAUAUAUAAAGGGCAAAUCAGCCAAAUAGAGUGCACACUUCUGAGUUAUACCCAUGGAUAGGAGAGUUGACAAAAUGAGCUAAUGAAACAUUCAAUUAUAUAAUGCUCCUACUAAUAUAGAAGAGCAUAGGCAGUUAGGUGGACAAAGCCAAACAAACCUAAGUGAUUAAGUGCCUUGGACAUGAACACAGCACAGUGUUGACCUGGAUAUAAACUGUUAUCUUUUCAGACAGUUCACUAAUACUACAACAAUCAAACCAAUUACAUAUACUGAUACACACAUGUACAUAUAUAUAUGAGGUAAAUUGAAUUGUUGUGGUGAAGAGAUGUUUAGAAAGAUUAACAAAACCUUUUCUGUCCUCAUGCCAUGGCCAGAGAGCAUGACUUCUAGUAUGGCAUACCUAAAUGCAUAGGGACUUUGUGAAUGGUAACAAACCCUAAAACUAUAACCAAAAGAGAAGCUGAACCAUAGUCUGUCAUACUGAUUUGCUCAUCUGAACUUUCAUUGUGUAUUGAUAAAGAAGUUUGUCGAUCAUAUAAAUACUGAUAUCUAUCAAAACCUCAUAUUCAUUUAGGGCAACAGAAGAUAAAUAGCCUAUUUUAUAUUUUUCUUAAGUGUUAUAGCAACAAAUUAAGUGAAAUACCUCUAACUGAGAUUGGGAACUGAGUCUCAAUUGGUGCUAGUUAGUUAUAGUAGGUAUAUUUUUUUGAUAUACAAAUAUCAAUUUCUUAAACUGAAAGUUACAAACCUACAGAUAAAAAGAAUGAGAUAGUGUGAUAUUCGUGCUGUUUGCAACCAAAUAAUAACUGGGAGAUAUCAUUCAAUAAAAACCCAGAGUUGAAGCAAACACUACUUAUUUGACUAUUAAUAAUAUGACCAAGAACACCCUACAGGGGUACUUUCUGUAUUCUGGCAACAAAUACAGAAGGGUGUUGCAUAAAGAUGAAACCUGCUUUUCAACCAGGUGAUUUGGGGUUCAGUCCCACAGUGCAGCAACUAGGGAAAAUGUCUUCAAAGGCAGCUAAAGCUUUGCAGGUGGAUUUAGUAGAAGGAAAUUGUAAAAAGCACAUCGUAGAUGUAUACAUGUUUCUAUUCUAUAUUUUUGAGAUGAGAAAUUAUGUACUUUAUUUAUAAUGGCCGGAUAGGUGUCCUCAUCUUAUUUGUUGUUAUCACAACAUGUUCGCUGAUGUACCCCACAGCCUUCAUCAGGUGUUCAGGUGGAAUUUUGAAUCCAACCUUUUAUUUGACUAAUGGGAUACACUGUUCUCAUUCCUAAGCUAUAUUGCUGAUGUUAUUUUUCUGUUGAUAUUAUUUUUCAAGUCCCUGCCUGGGAUUGAACUUAGAAUCAGAGGGUUAAUAGCUGAAACAUUGUGAUAACAACAAACAAGAUGAGGACACCUAUCUGUCCAUCGUAAAUAACGUGUGUUUGUUUAAAUCUGCACUUCUGCAAAAAUCACUGAGCUUAGUAUGAUAUAGCUGUCUGUCAUUUCCCCUAUCAACAAGAAAGCAUCCAACAGCAAAACAAAGGCCCAAUAAUGUCCUUUUCUAACCCAUGCUGGCAUGAAAAAAAAAACAAAUAAACAAAUAUAUUUAGUUGAACAACAUGAGUCAACUGAAAUUCUCUAAGCAAUAAGUAGACAAAGACUACUUGUAGAGGUAUUUAAAAUCUAAACACAAGGGAGAUAACCUCAAUAAAAUCAGCUGAUUAAGAUUUCUGAACAUUAUGGACAAUAAAGUUAGAGUGGAUUUAGUAACUGACAUAUUUCAGUCUCAUUAGACCUCUUCAGUAAAGCAUAUUCCACUCAUUUGUUUAUAUUAACAUUAUGGCUGAGGGGAAAUAUAGUCAGUUGAAUAACUGAUCAACUGAGAUUAUUCAAGCAAUUACUAGACAAAAACUCUCUUUAAUGUUGUUAAAAGUUCAAAGUUAAUUAGCAUUUUGCAAUUUUAUUCAAACUAAUUACAAUUAGGGCAUUGUAAAACAGAGUUAAGUUUUCAGUUAAAAGUUACUGCAAGUAAAAAUGUAAACUUUGUCAACCAACUAUUAUUUUAUUAAUGCUAUAGUUUAAAACAACAGAAAUAUAAUGAAGCCACACGAGUACUCCUGUAUGGAAACUCUCAGUCUUUCUGUACAUGCAAGUUACUCAGGUCAUUCUAAUGGAGUAGUUAUCUAAUGAUUAUUAACACUUCUCACUUGUACUGUCUUCAUAUUCUAGCAUGAACCAAAUUUUAAAUUUUUCAAUUUUAUCCCUACUGGUGGAGACGUGGAUGUGUGGUAAAAAGUUUGCUUCCCAAUCACAUGCUUCUGAGUUCAGUCCCACUGCAUGGCAUCAUGGGCAAGUGUCUUCUACUAUAGCCUCGGCCUUGUGAGUGGAUUUGAUAAACAGAAACUGAAAGAAGCCCAUCGUGUAUGUGUAUAUAUAUAAAUAAUAGUGUGUAUGUGUGUGUCUUUAUGUAUGUGUUUGUCCCCCACCACUGUUUGACAACUAGGGUUGGUAUGUUUAUGUCCCUGUAACUUAGUGGGUUGGCAAAAGGAAUCAAUAGAAUAAGUACAAAGCUUUACAAAAAAUAAGUACUGGGUCGUUAAGUUCAACUGAAAAUUCUUCAAGGCUGUGCCCCAGCAUGGCCACACUCUAAUGAUUGAAACAGGUAAAAGAUAAAAGACAAGGCUUGACUGACUUAAUUGCUGAACAGACUCAGAGGAGGGAUUUAACAAAAUUUACUGUUAGGAAAAUGGCACAAGAAAAUCAUGUCAUCAGGAACAUGUCCCAAUACCUCAUUUCACCAUUUCGUCCUACAUCUUCUUUAGUCUUUCUCUUCUGAAUGUUCUUUCCACUUGGAUUGACACUUCUUUAACCAACUCUUAUCAAUACUGACAUAUGAUACGUGUCAGUAUCAAUACAGAUUUUUCUCUAACACUUUGCGGCUAAUUCUUUUAUAUAUACAUUUAUUUUUGCACAUCACCUCUGAUCUAUCGUUCAUGCAUGCUAACAUUAUACACAUCCAACAGAGUGUGUUCACUUCAUUUCUUUCCAGCUUUAGAAUAUAUUCUGUAUUCAGUGCUCAAGUUACACUAUCAAAUUUCAUUCAUGUCAUACAAUCUGCCCUUCAUUCAGAGAAAGAAAUUGUUUGUUGCAGUCAUGGGUAAUAUUGUUUCUGACUUCAUGCGAUUUAAGUACAAGAUCAGCAAUUUUGAGGGGAGGGAGUUAAUCGAUACCAUCACCGCAGUACUUUAGUAAACUGACCCCAGAAGGAUAAAAGGCAAAGCCAAUUUUAGUGGGGUUUGAAUUCACAAUGUAAAAUGCCAGAAGAAAUGCUACGAAGCAAUUUGUUUGACACUAAUGAUUCUGUCAAUUCAUUGCUUGGUAAUAUUACUAAUGAAUAUAAGCUGACAGAAUCGUUAGCACAUCAGGCAAAAUACUUAACAACAUUUCUGUCUUUACGUUCUGAGUUCAAAUGCUGCCGAGGUCGACUUAUCCUUUCAGGGUCAAUAAAAUAAAUGCCAGUUAUGCACAGAGGUUGAUGUAAUCAGCUUAACCUCUCCCCCAAAAUUCUUGGCCUUGUGCCAAAACUUGAAACCUUUAUUAAUAUUACUAUUGAAUACUUAACUCCUAAACAGAGAUUUCAUUCUAUCUUCAUAACAGUGAUUUCUUUGACAAGACAAUUUACAUAUUUGUAGGAUAAGGAGUAUAGGGAACAGAGAUAUGUAUCUGAUACUUAUGAGGUCCAGUAGGAUUUAAACUCAGAAUGUAAGAUGUACUAUAAUACAGCUACAGGGCUGGCUCAAGGUAUUGGCAACUCGGGCAGUUGCCCGGGGCGCCAUGUGCUAGGAGAUGCCAAGAAGGGCAUGACAAAGAGAAGGAAAUUUCCACGACCGUCAACUUGUACAUGAUGAAGUUCUGCUUGCCAGGCGCUAGUAACCCUCUGUACAGCUGAAUGAUGUUCCUAUCCCACUGAACGCUCGAACAUCACAAAGUACUUAUUUUUCCCUCUUUACCCAUACAUAUUAAUGAAUGCACAGAAUAUGGAGAUGAUAUCAGAUGAUAAAGACAAAAAUUCAUGUGUAUUAUUAAGCAAACCAGCUGUAUAUUAAGCCAGGUGGAUAUAAACAAGCUAAAAGUGUAUUAAGCCAGGUGUGCAUUAACAGGUGAAGGGAUGAUUAAUAGAUUUUUUUUUGUUUCAGCCCAAAAGCGGUGACCAUGCUGGAGCAUCGCCAGUCACGUAUGCUUUUAUUUAUUAUUUUUUGCACCUGUUUUUAAUAUCAUUUGUAUCUAGUAUGUCACAUAACACAUUUAUUCACAGUGCUCUGAGAUCAAAUGCCGCCAGGGUCCACUUUGCCUUUCAUCCUUUCGGGCUUGACAAAAUAAGUACCAGUUAAACACUGGAGUCGAUGAAAUCGAUUUAUCCCUUCACCCGAAAUUACUGGCCUUGUGCCGAAAUUUGAAACCAUUGUUAAUAAUAGUAGUUGAAGUAUUGUUGUUAUUGCAUCGUCUCCUUCAUUCAAAGCUGACUGAUCGUAAGAAAACCAGUUUUCCAGUAAUCAUGAACAAACAACACGGUGAGGAUGAAAAUGUUGACGCACGGGGAAAUGUUUGAAAUGCCUCCCCUCCCUCGCAACACAGCAGUUGGCGCCGGGUGAGAGCAGCUACCCAAGGAAGAGACAACUGAAGUUUGGCUGUUUUGAGAUUCACUGUCUGGCUGUUUCCAUACAUUUUUGUAUAUAUAUAUAUACAUACUAACAUACAUUUUUGUAUAUAUAUAUACAUACUAACAUACAUUUUAUAUAUAUAUAGAUACUAACAUACAUUUUUUAUAUAUGCAUACAUACUAACAUACAUUUUUAUAUAUACAUAUAUAUACAUACUAAGAUAUAUUUUUUUAUAUAUAUACAUACAUACUAACAUACAUUUUUUAUACAUCUAUACAUAGACUUUUAUAUUAUACAUACAUACAAUUAAAACUUUUCCGUUAUGUGUUUUUGCCAUAUUUAACUGAGUAGUGUUGCUACAUAACGUUCUUUUUAUUUUGCUAAAUGUCGCUUUGCCAAUGGAAAAAUCGUUAACACUGUUAUUAUUUGUAUGUAGAUCAAUGAACGAAAGAGAAAGUGGCUUGUUUAAAUCCUACCUUUUCA